rnacentral:rRNA from 1 species
GAACGCUGGCGGCGUGCUUAACACAUGCAAGUCGAGCGGAAAGGCCCUUCGGGGUACUCGAGCGGCGAACGGGUGAGUAACACGUGAGUAACCUGCCCCUGACUCUGGGAUAAGCCUGGGAAACCGGGUCUAAUACCGGAUAUGACACAUGGUCGCAUGAGCGGUGUGUGGAAAGUUUUUUCGGUUGGGGAUGGGCUCGCGGCCUAUCAGCUUGUUGGUGGGGUGAUGGCCUACCAAGGCGACGACGGGUAGCCGGCCUGAGAGGGCGACCGGCCACACUGGGACUGAGACACGGCCCAGACUCCUACGGGAGGCAGCAGUGGGGAAUAUUGCGCAAUGGGCGGAAGCCUGACGCAGCGACGCCGCGUGGGGGAUGACGGCCUUCGGGUUGUAAACCUCUUUCAGCAGGGACGAAGUUGACGUGUACCUGUAGAAGAAGCGCCGGCUAACUACGUGCCAGCAGCCGCGGUAAUACGUAGGGCGCAAGCGUUGUCCGGAAUUAUUGGGCGUAAAGAGCUCGUAGGUGGCUU